ACGCGUAAGAACUUGCCUCUUAGACCGGGACAACAUCUGGAAACGGAUGCUAAUACCAGAUAUUAUGGUUUUUUCGCAUGGAGGAAUCAUGAAAGCUAGAUGCGCUAAGAGAGAGCUUUGCGUCCCAUUAGCUCGUUGGUGAGGUAACGGCCCACCAAGGCAAUGAUGGGUAGCCGGCCUGAGAGGGUGAACGGCCACAAGGGGACUGAGACACGGCCCUUACUCCUACGGGAGGCAGCAGUGGGGAAUAUUGGACAAUGGACCACAAGUCUGAUCCAGCAAUUCUGUGUGCACGAUGACGUUUUUCGGAAUGUAAAGUGCUUUCAGUCGGGAAGAAGUCAGUGACGGUACCGACAGAAGAAGCGACGGCUAAAUACGUGCCAGCAGCCGCGGUAAUACGUAUGUCGCAAGCGUUAUCCGGAUUUAUUGGGCGUAAAGCGCGUCUAGGCGGCAAGGAAAGUCUGAUGUGAAAAUGCGGAGCUCAACUCCGUAUGGCGUUGGAAACUGCCUUACUAGAGUACUGGAGAGGUAGGCGGAACUACAAGUGUAGAGGUGAAAUUCGUAGAUAUUUGUAGGAAUGCCGAUGGGGAAGCCAGCCUACUGGACAGAUACUGACGCUAAAGCGCGAAAGCGUGGGUAGCAAACAGGAUUAGAUACCCUGGUAGUCCACGCUGUAAACGAUGAUUACUAGGUGUUGGGGGUCAAACCUCAGCGCCCAAGCUAACGCGAUAAGUAAUCCGCCUGGGGAGUACGUACGCAAGUAUGAAACUCAAAGGAAUUGACGG
rnacentral:rRNA from 1 species